rnacentral:lncRNA from 1 species
AGCGCUCCCGCGUGGGCGGUGUCAGAUUGGAUCCAGACGUGAGGAGAAAGGCAAGGAGCAGCUGAAUGAUUGCUGGGUUUUCAGACAAGCCGCAGAAAUACAGGCCGGAGCUUGCAGACCUGAAAGAGCCAGAUGAGAGACCUGCGAGGGGCAGAGAGGAUGAUGGGCAUCUCAGAAGAUGCUCGUGCGGAUGGACGACAUUGAACACCCAAUUGACUUCGAGCUAUAUAGGAAUGUGGCCACAACCCCAGGGAAA